UAAUACCAGCUCCCCGAGUGGUGGGGACGAUUAUUGGGCCUAAAGCGUCCGUAGCCGGCUCGGCAAGUCUCCCGUCAAAUCCAGCGAUCUAAUCGUUGGGCCGCGGGAGAUACUGUUGGGCUAGGAGGCGGGAGAGGCUGACGGUAUUCCCGGGGUAGGGGUGAAAUCCUAUAAUCCCGGGAGGACCACCAGUGGCGAAGGCGGUCAGCUAGAACGCGCUCGACGGUGAGGGACGAAAGCUGGGGGAGCGAUCCGGAUUAGAUACCCGGGUAGUCCCAGCCGUAAACGAUGCAGGCUAGGUGUUGGCGUGACCACGAGUUACGCCAGUGCCGCAGGGAAGCUGUUAAGCCUGCCGCCUGGGGAGUACGGUCGCAAGACUG
rnacentral:rRNA from 1 species